rnacentral:lncRNA from 7 species
UAUUUCUGAGCUUGUUUAACAGAAGCAGAUUUGCAAAUGACUUUGGAUUCAGCAGGAAGAUAAUUUUAUGGGGCACUUGGACUUGGAAGUAGGCGUUUUGCAGAUUAAAGCAUAUGGUGUUCGAAUCCUCCCUGUCUGUCAUCAGGAACAGAUGAUGCCAGCCCACUCAAGCCUUUAGGCUCUAUGGCACUUCGUAGAGUUUCUGCCUUUAGCUGAAUCUUACCAUUAUCGCUGAGAACCCUUAGAACUGCAACUAAAACUGCGUUGUUGUAUCAUGCCAUUCGAAGGAGAACUGAGUCCAUCUGUAUCCACUAAUUUUUAAAGUCAACAGGCCAGCAGUACCCAGUUAACCGAGAUGUCAACACUGUGGAGUUGUAGGUCAUAUUUCAUCAUCUAGAAGGAUACACUGCUGCCAGGCUUGCAGUUUUCCAUACGUGCACUCACACCUGCGUCCUCAAAUCUACUCACAGAAGAGGAAGGAGUUAAUGACUGCGACUGGCUGCAUGAACUCUCCAGCCUCUCCCAGGACUUCCCAAAGCAGAUGAUUUUUUUACGUCUCUGUGCCUGCAUUAAAGGGAAGGGCAAUAAGAAAAUGAGAUAAGCAUGUUUUCAAAACUCAAGCCAUAUCUACUUUGUGACAGAAUAAACCAAGCACCAUAACCAGAACAAACCAGUGACCAUGCUUCAGCUGCAUCUCAGACUGCCAGCCACUGCCAGGAAGAAGUGUCUGAAGGUGUUACAGUGGGUCAUCCUUGCUCGUCUUACACUGGCAGCAUAUAUGGAUUCGGAGUUGUGUCAUCGUUUUUUCAGAUCUGUCAUUAUGAAGAAAAGGCUGCAGUGCAUCCUGGCCAAAUCUAAGCACGUAUUAUGAUCUUAUCUCAGCUUUUGGAAAUUCUUCUGUAAUGUCCAGGGCAAAAUAAUGAAACUGUGACCUGUGAAUGGAGUGAAGCUCACUUUUGUGCUGCUCUGCCUUCAUCUGAAUGAAAUUCAACUGUUGGUUACGCUUUAAAAAGAAAAGGUUUUCCACUGUCUGAUCUCUUCAUUGGUCUGAAUCUGAACAGUGGUUCCUAACAGACUGAAGCUUCAAGGAGUGAACUUGGAAUCAGAACCACGCCUUGGAAAAUCUGGUCACUUGAGACGGAAUAGAUAAUAAUCUUAAAAGUAUGUUUUUAUCCUUUUCAUUAAUUAUAUUUCUACAUUCUGGACCAAAUGACAUUCUGUAACUUCAGUGAACUCAAUGUUCGUUUUGACAUAACGUCUUCUCUUUUUGAGGUUCUCAUAUGCUUGUCUCUAAUAUUUAUUUUUAGAAAUGUAUAUCAAUUCUCUGCUUCUCUCUUAAGUCUGCUCUCCCAGAGCACCCCCAGCAUUGCUCAUGGCUCAGCUCUGGCAGCAGUAGGUCUCUUUUGGAGCAGCUGGAGCUGGGUUUGAUCUGACACAGAGCAGUGCUGGGCUCUGCUCACAGAGGACGCCCCUGCAGCUCCCUACUACUUAAACUUUGGCAGAUAAACCCAAGACAGCCAGAAAAAUUACUUUGCAGAUUUUGAUACAUGAAAAAAAAAUAAAAAAGAAAAAAGAGAGAGAGACGGAGAUAGAGUGUAUCACAACACAAUCAAAUGUGGUAAGUAGGACUGUGUUUUGUUUCCAAUUUACAAAUAGCAAAUUGGAUUUAAUGGACUGUGGAAAUACAGUGCAAAAAGAUAAAUCUGGAGCUUUAACUUGGAAACAAAAGGCUCGAUUCAAUGCUCACUUGACAGUGGUUUCAUUCCAUAUUCCACCAUAUGCUAUUGUAUGUUGCUAUAAAAUUUUUUUAUUUGUAAAGCAGUUUUGCUUUCUUGUAAUAUGAGUCCUCACUGAAAAGAAAUCAUGGACUGUCCAUCACAAAUCUAUUGAAGAAAUACAUUCCUGUGUUUGGAGAAAUUGCUAAGGAUCUUAUUCUCAGAAGUUCCAUGUUAUGGGUCAGAAAUCUGUAUGCUGCGCUGUACGCUCUGAAUCCCCAGAAAUUUUCUGCCUCUCAUUUUUUUUUGUUGUGGAUCCUUUGAAGUUUUAUGAUAGUUAUUCUUCACAAAAUCACUCUCAAACACUAUUGGCUUGAAAUAUUUUGUUCACACAAAGAACCAUGCCCUCUGAAUUCUCAUAACUGUUAGCUAUUAAAUUAGCUGAACAUACGUUAACUACAAUUUUCAUAGUCAAUUAUUAAUGAUCAUUUUAAUCCAUGUACUGUAUUGCUUUGCUAAAUGAAACUGCUGUGAAG